CUACGGGCCGCAGCAGUGGGGAAUCUUAGACAAUGGGCGCAAGCCUGAUCUAGCCAUGCCGCGUGAGUGAUGAAGGCCUUAGGGUCGUAAAGCUCUUUCGCUGGGGAAGAUAAUGACGGUACCCAGUAAAGAAACCCCGGCUAACUCCGUGCCAGCAGCCGCGGUAAUACGGAGGGGGUGAGCGUUGUUCGGAAUUACUGGGCGUAAAGCGCGCGUAGGCGGACUGUUAAGUCGGGGGUGAAAUCCCGGGGCUCAACCCCGGAACGGCCUUCGAUACUGGCAGUCUGGAGUUCGAGAGAGGUGAGUGGAAUUCCGAGUGUAGAGGUGAAAUUCGUAGAUAUUCGGAGGAACACCAGUGGCGAAGGCGGCUCACUGGCUCGAUACUGACGCUGAGGUGCGAAAGUGUGGGGAGCAAACAGGAUUAGAUACCCUAGUAGUC
rnacentral:rRNA from 1 species